CUAUACAAAACAAGUAAAAGGAAUCGGUUCGUUGGUAAAACUUCGGAUUAACGAUGCUAAUAUGCUAAACAGAAAGCACAAUAUUGUGCUGAAAUACUUCAAUUGAGGGCCAUUUUAACAGUUUAAGCUAUGUAAGUCGCUGUAGAAGAACAACCUUUCGACAUAACCUUUCAUCGAGUUCGCAGAUUUAAUCAUAAACUCUUAUUGCCAAAUACCAUUUAAUGUAAAUAAAUUCGUCUGUGUACAGAUGUAUCCAAUAUAAAAUGAUUUAAACU